CAACUAAUGCAUAAAGAACCUUGAAGAAACUCUGAGCCUUAAACAUGCUUUUUAUCAGUAUCUAUUAUGUUUACCUAAUGAGUGCAAUUGAAAAUAAAUAUGUAAAUGCACACACAUCCAUUCUUGUAUGCAUAGGAUGGACUUGACUUUAAAUAGCGAACAUAAAUGAGGUGCUACAGUUUGCAAUCCCAUGUCUUUACUCAUCAUGAACUAUUUCCCAGCAGCAUUUGCUCAAUAAAUGUCAUACUGAAAUACAAA